CAGAUACCUAGUGCCUCGCGGAGACCAAAAGCACCACCAGAGAACUUUGUCAAAAUACAAGUUGAUGCGGGUGUUAGGGCCUCAAGAGGAGGAUCAGCGGUAGCGGUAUGCCGUGACAGAAAUGGGACCUUCCUGGGAAGUUCUGCACUGGUGAUUGCUGGAGUGGCGGAUCCAGCUACCCUGGAGGCGAUUGCUUGCAGAGAGGCCAUUGCUUUGGCUCAAGAUUUAAAUGUGCAGCAAGCUAUGAUCACUUCCGACUCGAAGCAAGUCAUUGGAGAUAUCCAUGGAGGGAACAAAGGACUCUAUGGUCCGAUCAUUACCGAAAUUAAAGCUGGAGCCUCUCUUUUGAAUUGUAAUUUUUCUUUCGAGGGUCGUGCAACCAAUAUGGAUGCACAUAGAUUAGCUAAGUUUGCUUUAUCCUUAGUUCCGGGGCGUCAUGUAUGGCUUGGCCAGCCUCAUCCCCCGACUCGUAUCCCACACGUUGUGAUGUUUGAUUAA
rnacentral:rRNA from 1 species